CCAGGGUAUAACUAAGCGGCUAUCGGCCUCUCUUCCGCCGGCACUAUUAGGGUCUUUGAUCUCCCGACGUUUCUCUGGCCGAUGGAGGUAUCGAAGCUUCUCAAGGAGAAAAAGUUUUGGGUCGCUUCCUUCAUCGUUGCUUGGGCCGCCGCCUUGCAGGCUCACAUGAUGUGGAUGCAGAGGCAAGAUUCCUUCAAGCAGAAGUUUGGGGAUUCAAGCAAGGAGAUAGAUGGAGGGAACUGAAGGACCAUCUACUUGUUGGUUCUGAGAAUAUAUGUAUUGACAAAUGUGCUCCAUAAUUGGGUCCUUUGGGAUACCGCAACAAUGAUAAUUAUUUUGCUCAUGUAUCAUGUGACCAUCUACGUGGAGCUUCUGAGAAUAUUCACUUUGAUGAAUGUGCUCCCUUAUUGAGUCUUCUAUGAUACUGCAACAAAAAGAUUCAAUUUACAGGCAACUUAACGGUAUUGGUGUUCCUAUCAAAUCUACCGACUGAUAUGUUGCCAUGGUUUCUCCAUCGCAAAAUGGUUUCUUCUGAAGCAGCAUCCUUCUUUAUGGAAGCCAGCAUGUAAUGCAGUGCAGAUUAUGUCAAAGGUCAAAAAACAAAUGAAGAAGCAACCUUAGCUUUCUUUGUCCGAAGAUUUGGUACUUGUAAACGCUUUGUCAAGUUUCAGAUUUGAUAUAAGUGUUGAACCCCAGCAGAUUGGCUUGUCCAUUUUGGGAUGAUUGCAUUGCAACUUUAUUCUUUAAUGUGCUUACAAGUUAUUAAUAGACAAUUGUUUUGUUUAUUAUAAAUGUACAUCGAACUCUAUAUUGCUUAGCAUAA